rnacentral:rRNA from 1 species
AUACGGAGGGUGCAAGCGUUAAUCGGAAUUACUGGGCGUAAAGCGUACGUAGGCGGUUUAUUAAGUCAGAUGUGAAAGCCCCGGGCUUAACCUGGGAACUGCAUUUGAAACUAGUAGACUAGAGUAUGGUAGAGGGGGGUAGAAUUCCUAGUGUAGCGGUGAAAUGCGUAGAUAUUAGGAGGAAUACCAGUGGCGAAGGCGGCCCCCUGGACCAAUACUGGCGCUGAGGUACGAAAGCGUGGGGAGCGAACAGGAUUAGAAACCCUGGUAGUCC